UACGUAGGGGGCUAGCGUUGUCCGGAAUCAUUGGGCGUAAAGAGCGUGUAGGCGGCCCGGUAAGUCCGCUGUGAAAGUCGGGGGCUCAACCCUCGAAUGCCGGUGGAUACUGUCGGGCUAGAGUGCGGAAGAGGCGAGUGGAAUUCCUGGUGUAGCGGUGAAAUGCGCAGAUAUCAGGAGGAACACCAAUUGCGAAGGCAGCUUGCUGGGACGUAACUGACGCUGAGACGCGAAAGCGUGGGGAGCAAACAGG
rnacentral:rRNA from 1 species